UGGGGAAUCUUGCACAAUGGGCGAAAGCCUGAUGCAGCAACGCCGCGUGCGGGAAGAAGGCCCUAGGGUUGUAAACCGCUUUCAGUAGGGAAGAAAAUGACGGUACCUACAGAAGAAGGUGCGGCCAACUACGUGCCAGCAGCCGCGGUGACACGUAGGCACCAAGCGUUAUCCGGAUUUAUUGGGCGUAAAGAGCUCGUAGGCGGUUCGGUAAGUCGCGUGUGAAAACUCUGGGCUCAACCCAGAGACGCCACGCGAUACUGCUGUGACUAGAGUGCGGUAGGGGAGCGGGGAAUUCAUGGUGUAGCGGUGAAAUGCGCAGAUAUCAUGAGGAACACCAGCGGCGAAGGCGCCGCUCUGGGCCGUAACUGACGCUGAGGAGCGAAAGCAUGGGUAGCAAACAGGAUUAGAUACCCUGGUAGUCCAUGCCGUAAACGUUGGGCACUAGGUGUGGGUCUCAACCAACGAGAUCCGCGCCGUCGCUAACG
rnacentral:rRNA from 1 species